CCAAAAGUUCCAUCCAAGCGCAGCAACUUCUCCGUAGCAAGCUUCAAUUAGUUACGCUGCUCUAUCUCUCAAUUUAUUUCUUCUCUAUUGUCUCUGCAAAAUUUCUUGCGCAGAAAUCAACCUAUAUUCUCUGCAAACUCCCUGAGCAGAAGUUAUUCAAGCAACUCAUACUUAGAGGCUUUAUGGACCAAGGGGAUUAGCGUUGCUUUCCCAAGACAAGUUUAUGUGAUUAUGAUCUUCAGGCUUUGCCUAACCAGGUGUCGACUAUUUUGUCAUCAAGGCGAUUGUUUCAACAAUUUGUUGUUGAUGCAUACACAAUGGUAGAAUGAGCAGAUUAUCAUAUGUGCGCCACCAUAAAAAAGAAUUACGUUCAGAGAUGUAUAAGGGUUUAAAAGAAGCUCUUCUAAGGGGUGAAACAGAUCCGGCUCGGCAUGGAAAACGUGUAAUUUUGCCUUCAUCCUUCACCGAUGGAGCACGGUACAUGAUACAGAAUUAUCAAGAUGCUAUGGCCAUUUGUAGAUGGGUAGGUUAUCCAGAUUUGUUUAUUACAUUUACUUGCAAUCCAAAAUGGCCCGAAAUAGUUAGAUAUGUUCGAAGUAAAGGUUUGAAACCCGAGGAUCGUCCUGACAUCAUUGCUCGUGUCUUCAAGAUCAAGUUGGACAAUCUAAUCGAAGACUUGCAAAAGAAAAAAUUAUUUGGCAAAGUCAAAGCAGUUGUGUACACCAUUGAAUUUCAAAAACGAGGACUUCCUCAUGCUCACAAAGGAGGACACAUGGCGAUGAACUGCCCAGAAGCACGGAGUACGAAUGUCCCGAACAACAACAACGUCCCGACUUGACAGGAUAAGGACAAUAACUGGGGAAGAAAUCACGGCAACAACAACAACAGGGGAAGGAACCAAAAUUACAACAACAAUGGUGCCCGCAAGGGAGAGGCACGAGUUUAUGCCAUGAACUAGGAAGAGAUGGAUGGAGGGGCUCAGACUAUGUCAGGUAUCUUACCCGUUUCGAACAAGACUGCUCUAGUACUAUUUCUUUCCAGUGUUUUACAUUCGUUUAUCGUAAG